rnacentral:rRNA from 1 species
UACGUAGGGGGCGAGCGUCGUCCGGAUUUAUUGGGCGUAAAGAGCUCGUAGGCGGCUUGUUGCGUCGACCGUGAAAACCCGGGGCUCAACUUCGGGCUUGCGGUCGAUACGGGCGGGCUAGAGUUCGGUAGGGGAGACUGGAAUUCCUGGUGUAGCGGUGAAAUGCGCAGAUAUCAGGAGGAACACCGGUGGCGAAGGCGGGUCUCUGGGCCGAUACUGACGCUGAGGAGCGAAAGCGUGGGGAGCGAACAGG